rnacentral:tRNA from 1 species
GGCCCGUUGGUCAAGUGGUUAAGACACCGCCCUUUCACGGCGGUAACACGGGUUCGAAU